rnacentral:misc_RNA from 1 species
UGCCUGGGCAGCGACGACGUCCCGAUCAAGCCCCUUCAGUUGUUGGCUCAAGCGCACAACGCCUUGGCCGAUGUCGGUUUCCUGUGCUGAAUUCCUGACGGAUGGCAAUCUCUCGUCCACCAACGUCCCGUACUCCUCCUCUCGUCGCGCAUCCUAAGGGAGACGCGGCGCGGGGAGGACAUCAAAGCCCCCAUCGUGUUUCGCAGCCCGCUCUCCCGCCAGCUCGGGAGGGCCAGGGCUUUCGACCCACGACGUCGUGCUCGAUCUCUCGGAUGCGGAACACCAAGCGGCCACGAGGCCACGGCCUCCGCUGCCCCUUAACAAGAGCGUCCAACGCUCCCUGCGGACGACAGCCGACCGGGUCUUGGACGGGAGCCCCAGCGGCUCCCGUAUCAUGCCCGAGCGGCGUCGACGAGGAAUGCUACCUGGUUGAUCCUGCCAGUAGUCA